AUUGAACGCUGGCGGCAUGCCUUACACAUGCAAGUCGAACGGUAACAGGUUAAGCUGACGAGUGGCGAACGGGUGAGUAAUGUAUCGGAACGUGCCCAGUCGUGGGGGAUAACUGCUCGAAAGAGCAGCUAAUACCGCAUACGACCUGAGGGUGAAAGCGGGGGAUCGCAAGACCUCGCGCGAUUGGAGCGGCCGAUAUCAGAAUAGGUAGUUGGUGAGGUAAAGGCUCACCAAGCCGACGAUCUGUAGCUGGUCUGAGAGGACGACCAGCCACACUGGGACUGAGACACGGCCCAGACUCCUACGGGAGGCAGCAGUGGGGAAUUUUGGACAAUGGGCGCAAUCCUGAUCCAGCCAUGCCGCGUGCGGGAAGAAGGCCUUCGGGUUGUAAACCGCUUUUGUCAGGGAAGAAAAGGUUCUGGCUAAUACCUGGGACUCAUGACGGUACCUGAAGAAUAAGCACCGGCUAACUACGUG
rnacentral:rRNA from 1 species